GGUGAGGCUCAGGAUGCUUACUGUCUUU
rnacentral:piRNA from 1 species